GUGGGGAAUAUUGGACAAUGGGGGCAACCCUGAUCCAGCCAUGCCGCGUGAGUGAUGAAGGCCUUCGGGUUGUAAAGCUCUUUUGGCGGGGACGAUGAUGACGGUACCCGCAGAAUAAGCUCCGGCUAACUUCGUGCCAGCAGCCGCGGUAAUACGAAGGGAGCUAGCGUUGUUCGGAAUUACUGGGCGUAAAGGGCGCGUAGGCGGCUCUUUUAGUCAGGCGUGAAAGCCCCGGGCUUAACCUGGGAAAUGCGUUUGAUACUGGAGAGCUUGAGUGUGGGAGAGGUUGGUGGAAUUCCCAGUGUAGAGGUGAAAUUCGUAGAUAUUGGGAAGAACACCGGUGGCGAAGGCGGCCAACUGGACCACAACUGACGCUGAGGCGCGAAAGCGUGGGGAGCAAACAGGAUUAGAUACCCCAGUAGUCC
rnacentral:rRNA from 1 species